rnacentral:rRNA from 1 species
GAUGAACGCUGGCGGCGUGCCUAAUACAUGCAAGUCGAGCGAACAGACGAGGAGCUUGCUCCUCUGACGUUAGCGGCGGACGGGUGAGUAACACGUGGAUAACCUACCUAUAAGACUGGGAUAACUUCGGGAAACCGGAGCUAAUACCGGAUAAUAUAUUGAACCGCAUGGUUCAAUAGUGAAAGACGGUUUUGCUGUCACUUAUGGAUGGAUCCGCGCCGCAUUAGCUAGUUGGUAAGGUAACGGCUUACCAAGGCAACGAUGCGUAGCCGACCUGAGAGGAUGAUCGGCCACACUGGAACUGAGACACGGUCCAGACUCCUACGGGAGGCAGCAGUAGGGAAUCUUCCGCAAUGGGCGGAAGCCUGACGGAGCAACGCCGCGUGAAUGAUGAAGGUCUUCGGAUCGUAAAGCUCUGUUAUUAGGGAAGAACAAAUGUGUAAGUAACUAUGCACGUCUUGACGGUACCUAAUCAGAAAGCCCCGGCUAACUACGUG